rnacentral:rRNA from 1 species
AGUGAACGCUGGCGGUAGGCCUAACACAUGCAAGUCGAACGGCAGCACAGUAAGAGCUUGCUCUUACGGGUGGCGAGUGGCGGACGGGUGAGGAAUACAUCGGAAUCUACUUUUUCGUGGGGGAUAACGUAGGGAAACUUACGCUAAUACCGCAUACGACCUACGGGUGAAAGCAGGGGAUCUUCGGACCUUGCGCGAUUGAAUGAGCCGAUGUCGGAUUAGCUAGUUGGCGGGGUAAAGGCCCACCAAGGCGACGAUCCGUAGCUGGUCUGAGAGGAUGAUCGGCCACACUGGAACGGAGACACGGUCCAGACUCCUACGGGAGGCAGCAGUGGGGAAUAGUGGACAAUGGGCGCAAGCCUGAUCCAGCCAUACCGCGUGGGUGAAGAAGGCCUUCGGGUUGUAAAGCCCUUUUGUUGGGAAAGAAAAGCAGCAGGUUAAUACCCCGCUGUUCUGACGGUACCCAGAGAAUAAGCACCGGCUAACUUCGUG